UACGUCGAGCGCAAGCGUUGUCCGGAAUUAUUGGGCGUAAAGAGCUCGUAGGCGGUCUGUCGCGUCGGAUGUGAAAACUCGGGGCUCAACCCCGAGCCUGCAUUCGAUACGGGCAGACUAGAGUUCGGUAGGGGAGACUGGAAUUCCCGGUGUAGCGGUGAAAUGCGCAGAUAUCGGGAAGAACACCCGUGGCUAAGGCGGCUCUCUAGUACGGUACUGACGCUGAGACGCGAAAGCGUGGGGAGCGAACAGG
rnacentral:rRNA from 1 species